GACGGAAGGUGCAAGCGUUGCUCGGAAUCACUGGGCGUAAAGGGUGCGUAGGCGGCCGCGCAAGUCUGGCGUGAAAGCCCCGGGCUCAGCCCGGGAAGGGCGCUCGAAACGGCGCGGCUCGAGUGCCGGAGGGGAGAGUGGAAUUCCUGGUGUAGCGGUGAAAUGCGUAGAUAUCAGGAGGAAUACCGGUGGCGAAAGCGGUUCUCUGGGCCUGUACUGACGCUGAGGAACGAAAGCGUGGGGAGCGAACAGG
rnacentral:rRNA from 1 species